rnacentral:ncRNA from 1 species
GGCCCGUCGCAGGGAGAGCGUGAACAUGAAUUCCGUUCACCGCCGAAGGCGCAAUCCCGUAACCGCUCAGGCCAACGAACCGGCGACGCAGG